AUUGCACGCUGGCGGCAGGCCUAACACAUGCAAGUCGAGCGAGCGGCGGACGGGUGAGUAAUGUCUGGGAAACUGCCUGCUGGAGGGGGAUAACUACUGGAAACGGUAGCUAAUACCGCAUACCAUCAGAUGUGCCCAGAUGGGAUUGGCUAGUAGGUGGGGUAACGGCUCACCUAGGCGACGAUCCCUAGCUGGUCUGCGAGGAUGACCAGCCAAUCUGGAACGGAGACACGGUCCAGAUUCCUAUGGGAGGCAGCAGUGGGGAAGAGUGCACAAUGGGCGCAAGCGUGAUGCAGCCAUGCCGCGGGUGUGAAGAAGGCCUUCUGGUUGUAAAGCACUGUCAGCGGGGAGGCGUUACCCGCAGAAGAAGCACCGGCUAACUCCGUGCCAGCCGCCGCGGUAAUAC
rnacentral:rRNA from 1 species